GACGUAGGGCGCGAGCGUUGUCCGGAUUUAUUGGGCGUAAAGAGCUCGUAGGCGGCUCAUUGCGUCAACCGUGAAAUCCUGCUGCUCAACGGCAGGUCUGCGGUUGAUACGGGUGGGCUGGAGUUCGGUAGGGGAGACUGGAAUUCAUGGUGUAGCAGUGAAAUGCGUAGAGAUCAUGAGGAAGACCAGUGGCGAAGGCGGGUCUCUGGACAGUUCCUGACACUGAGACACGAAGGCCAGGGGAGCAAACGGG
rnacentral:rRNA from 1 species